UCCUUCCUGGUGUAGUGGUCAACACCUUCACCUUCUAAUUUGGUGAAAAGUCAGGAGGUCCGCUGUUCGAAUCACCUUGGUGGAU